rnacentral:sRNA from 1 species
GACAUCCCACCAAUGGGAUGCUCUUCUAUGCUCUGCGCCAACGGAACAACAUGCCGAGAAGACAGGGUGAAAUGUGACAAGCGUCCUUGGUAAGGAAACCCCAGAAGCUUCAAAAACCUGAAAAUUUUUUGAAAAAUUCGAAAAAAUUCAGCCCAAUACGAGCACUAUGCCUGCCGAACUUUCAACCAAAUGGAAAACCGAGCUUUUGCGAAGUGGCCGGCUGUGGUGCCGGGGAGAUUUGCCAUGAAACUAUAGAAAUAUGCGGGGAACCUCCUUGGUAGGUGCCUUGAAAUUUUAGGCCAAAAUUUUGAAAUUCAAGUAGUUUACAGCAGAUCUAUGGCCACCUGCCUGCCGACAACCAACCACACCGUCAAUAUAACUGACAUCGGAUGCUCUAACGCUACUUGUCCAGUUGGGAAAAAGUGCGAAGAAGUCACAGUGGCGUGCUUCAGUCCUCCAUGGUAAAUGGUCCUGAAGCUAUAUAUUAUAUAUUCCUUAAAAAUGUGCAUUUCAGCCUGAAAUCUGUAAGAUGUGUUGGAGAAAACUGGAUUCAGGAGGUGAAUUUCGACUGUGACGCGAUGCGAUGUGGGCCUGAUGAGGGAUGUAUGCAGAGUGUGGAAAUUUGUGAGAGGCCUCCGUGGUAGGUGGAUUAGGCUUAGGCUCAGGCUCAGGCUCCGGCUCAGGCUCAGGCUCAGGCUCAGGCUCAGGCUCAGGCUCAGGCUCAGGCUCAGGCUCAGGCUCAGGCUAAGACUUAGACUAAGACUUACGCUUAGUCUCAGGCUUAGGCGGAGCUGGGGUGGGGAGAUAAAAAAAAAGAGGAAAAGGAAAUUUCCAGAAAUUCUUGUAAAUUCAGAAAAUUUAGAAAAAAAAAACGAAAAACGACAAAAAAAUUUUCAAAAUGUAUUUUACCUAUUUUAAAUUUCAAUUUCUUCGGAAACUCUUUUUCAGCCCAACAAAAUCAUGGUGCAUCGUCCAAACAAAUGUGGACACUUUUACAAAAUGUCCUAAAAACCAAACUAUGACGGAUUGCCUCAACCCAUGCAGUGAAGAUAAGUGCCCAGGAAUUUUAAAGGUAGAAAUUUUGUUUGAAAGUUUUCGAAAAAAAAAUUCAAAUUUUAAUUUUCGAAAUUUUUUAAAUGUCAAAAUUUCAAUUUUACUUUGUUAAUUUUUUGGAAAAUUAGCAAUAAAUUUUUUUAAAAACUAAAAAAAAUUUUUUUUUUUAACUUUAAAAUUCAACCACUUCUUUCCGCUUUUUUUUAAAAAUACAUCAGUUUACUACAGAAAACCGAAUGCACAAAUCGCUGCGGCCAGGGAUGUGCUUGUGCCUACGGCUACCUCCGAUCCAGCGACGGCGAGUGCUACAAGCCCAAGGAUUGUCCACCAGAGUGCGGUCAAAACGAGGAGUACCGGUGUGAAAAGUGCGCGGGAACCUGUAAAAACCCGGAGCCCAACUGCCCCGGACCAAAGAACAAGAGCUGUAAGAGGGCUUGCAUUUGUGCACCGGGCUUUGUAAAGGAGAAUGGAAAAUGUGUGACGCUGGAUAGCUGCCCGGAUCAUGAUCAUACAA